rnacentral:rRNA from 1 species
CCUACGGGAGGCUGCAGUGGGGAAUAUUGCGCAAUGGGCGAAAGCCUGACGCAGCGACGCCGCGUGAGGGAUGAAGGUCUUCGGAUCGUAAACCUCUGUCAGCAGGGAAGCACGGUCACUGUGCUAAUCAGCAGUGAAUUGACGGUACCUGCAAAGGAAGCACCGGCUAACUCCGUGCCCGCAGCCGCGGUAAUACGGAGGGUGCGAGCGUUAAUCGGAAUUACUGGGCGUAAAGCGCUCGUAGGCGGUAUGUCAAGGCAAGGGUGAAAUCCCCGCGCGCAACGUGGGAACUGCCUUUGAAACUGGCAAACUGGAGUGUGUGCGAGGAUAGUGGAAGUCGAGGGGUAGGAGUGAAAUCCGUAGAUAUCUGGAGGAACAUCAGUGGCGAAGGCGACUAUCUGGCACAUAACUGACGCUGAGGAGCGAAAGCGUGGGUAGCAAACAGGAGUAGAUACCCCAGUAGUC